rnacentral:rRNA from 1 species
GUGGGGAAUAUUGCACAAUGGGCGCAAGCCUGAUGCAGCAACGCCGCGUGAGGGACGACGGCCUUCGGGUUGUAAACCUCUUUUAGCAGGGAAGAAGCGAAAGUGACGGUACCUGCAGAAAAAGCACCGGCUAACUACGUGCCAGCAGCCGCGGUAAUACGUAGGGUGCAAGCGUUGUCCGGAAUUAUUGGGCGUAAAGAGCUCGUAGGCGGUUUGUCGCGUCUGCUGUGACAACCCGAGGCUCAACCUCGGGCCUGCAGUGGGUACGGGCAGACUAGAGUGCGGUAGGGGAGAUUGGAAUUCCUGGUGUAGCGGUGGAAUGCGCAGAUAUCAGGAGGAACACCGAUGGCGAAGGCAGAUCUCUGGGCCGUAACUGACGCUGAGGAGCGAAAGCGUGGGGAGCGAACAGGAUUAGAAACCCCGGUAGUCC